rnacentral:rRNA from 1 species
UGGGGAAUAUUGCGCAAUGGGGGGAACCCUGACGCAGCCAUGCCGCGUGAAUGAAGAAGGCCUUAGGGUUGUAAAGUUCUUUCGGUAUUGAGGAAGGUUGAUGUGUUAAUAGCACAUCAAAUUGACGUUAAAUACAGAAGAAGCACCGGCUAACUCCGUGCCAGCAGCCGCGGUAAUACGGAGGGUGCGAGCGUUAAUCGGAAUAACUGGGCGUAAAGGGCAAGCAGGCGGUUAUUUAAGUGAGGUGUGAAAGCCCCGGGCUUAACCUGGGAAUUGCAUUUCAGACUGGGUAACUAGAGUACUUUAGGGAGGGGUAGAAUUCCACGUGUAGCGGUGAAAUGCGUAGAGAUGUGGAGGAAUACCGAAGGCGAAGCNNGCCCCUUGGGAAUGUACUGACGCUCAUGUGCGAAAGCGUGGGGAGCAAACAGGAUUAGAUACCCUGGUAGUCCACGCUGUAAACGCUGUCGAUUUGGGGGGUGGGGUUUAACUCUGGCGCCCGUAGCUAACGUGAUAAAUCGACCGCCUGGGGAGUACGGCCACAAGGUUA